rnacentral:rRNA from 1 species
UACAGAGGUCUCAAGCGUUGUUCGGAUUCAUUGGGCGUAAAGGGUGCGUAGGCGGCGCGGUAAGUCGGGUGUGAAAUCUUGGAGCUUAACUCCGAAACUGCAUUCGAUACUGCCGUGCUUGAGGACUGGAGAGGAGACUGGAAUUUACUGUGUAGCGGUGAAAUGCGUAGAUAUCGUAAGGAAGACCAGUGGCGAAGGCGGGUCUCUGGACAGUUCCUGACGCUGAGGCACGAAGGUCAGGGGAGCAAACGGG